rnacentral:rRNA from 1 species
CCUACGGGGGGCUGCAGUGGGGAAUAUUGGACAAUGGGGGCAACCCUGAUCCAGCCAUGCCGCGUGUGUGAAGAAGGCCCUCGGGUUGUAAAGCACUUUCAGUGAGGAAGAACGCCUGGUGGUUAAUACCCAUCAGGAAAGACAUCACUCACAGAAGAAGCACCGGCUAACUCCGUGCCAGCAGCCGCGGUAAUACGGAGGGUGCGAGCGUUAAUCGGAAUUACUGGGCGUAAAGCGCGCGUAGGUGGCUUGAUAAGCCGGUUGUGAAAGCCCCGGGCUCAACCUGGGAACGGCAUCCGGAACUGUCAAGCUAGAGUGCAGGAGAGGAAGGUAGAAUUCCCGGUGGAGCGGUGAAAUGCGUAGAGAUCGGGAGGAAUACCAGUGGCGAAGGCGGCCUUCUGGACUGACACUGACACUGAGGUGCGAAAGCGUGGGUAGCAAACAGGAUUAGAUACCCCGAGUAGUC